GGCCCUCCUGCACAAAAAUCACAAGUCAAAACAGGAAACAGAUGACGAGAACAACGAUGAAUAUCUUAUUGGGCGCUACAGACAUUUACUCUGUCAUCAUUCUCAUCGUUUUACCAGUAUUUUAGUAUUUUUCUCUCUUUAACUUGCAUUUCAAGUUAAAGAGAGCAUUGCAUUAUUCCUUAAAACUGAAUUAACAUAGUUUUUCAAAUAAUUCUGACUUGCAGACAUGUUACAGUGCAGGUCAAGAAAUAUUAUACACAGUGAAAUUAGUAAAUCAGUCUGUAAUAACUAGAGACUUGAUACAUUACCGAUUUUAGGAAUGACAGUAGUUACAGUUGUAUGAUUCUUCCGCUCUACAGUGUAAUCUAGUGUGGACAGAAAAAGGGUAGAUUAAAAAACAGUAAACUCAUGCCCCAAAGCAUGUAGAUUUUAAUUUGAUCUGAAACAGUGAUGGAACAGUUUCCGGUUCUUACUGUAGGUGCAGACUGUUAUGUUCUCCAGAUCCACAGCUGCUGAGUCACAGAAUAUGCAAACAGUGUUGCUGUUCUCAAGGACGCGUAAGAAGCAGCCUGAAGAAUUCAAAAGAAGAACACGUUUCACAUAAUUUUACUCUACAAUAGAGAAAACAUUCAUUGCUGUUGCCAAGGAUAAAGGUAACAUGAGCACAGGGACAGGGCAAAAUGUUUCAUCACUUUAACUCUUAACUCCUUUUCAGUCCUUCCACCAUGUCCUUCUGGCGUGCAGGAGCAGACUGUUGUUUUUUCCACUCUUUACUUCACACAACAACUCUGUCAAACCUUCACUUUCAUUUUAGAAGGUGCAGCAAUGAGCAGCUUCACCCAACACAACUGUCCAUGCAGUGUUUGAAAUGUUUGUCACCCUUUAUCUGUUCUUGGUACAUCUUCAAUGUAAGUUCUUCUCACUACAUCAAAAACAAAAUAUGUCUUUCAAUGGAUGAUGAAUGCAUACAGAUUCUGUAUUUCCAGUCAUGGUACACCAGCAUCUGUAUGUGUAUAUAUCUGUCCCCCAGUUCCACUCUGUUUGCUUUUUAGCUAAGUUAGCAGCAUAGCUCUCGGUAUGGCAAUGCCAAUCCAUCACUUUGGUCCAGACUGAAAUGACUGCCAACUAUUUAAUGGAUCACCAUGAAACAUUCAUGGUUCCCAUAAGAUGAAUCCUACUGACUGUAAUGACCCCCUGACUCUUCCUCUUGUGCCACUUUCGUAGGCCCCUGGCCCCAAACAUGGCACCAUCUUCAGGCCAACACAUGUGUCUCGGGUCUGAUAAGAAUCACAGUGGCAGCCAAGACCAAAAGAAACGACAGAGCCAUAUUCGAACCCUUGGAGAUCAAACACACUUGGAUUAGAUACACGUCAAUCACUCUGACAAGGCCCAUACAUCUCGAAAGAUACCCAGAGCUAUUAAUUUUAAGAUGUAUUGCAAGACUAAGUCACAUGUAAAUCUUUUUCUUUAUUUAAAUCUAUUUAUAUGUUUUGCUCCUCUCCAUUUGUCACAAAACAAUGUACAAGAUCAAGAGUUUUUGGUGAAUGUCUAAUUUUGUCUCUUUUAAACACAAAAGACUAUGUAACUGCCUUAACUUGUCAACAAUUUACAAGUUGAAUGCUCUUUCUGGCUCAGGUUAGGUUAAAAUAAGGGCAGUCAGAAAAACAAAGGCAGGUUUGAUGUUGUGCUCGAUUCACAUUGGAAAAAAAACAAGUCACCCACAACCACAACAGUUUAUAGUCAUGAGGAUACAGUCUAUUAAAAAGUGAUUUUCUGCGUUACAAUUUUCAACCUUUACAUCUUCCUUUUUCAAUGCAAAGUACUAAUUUCAAGGGCAAAGCGUUAAGAAACACAGCUAAUGUCUCAGAAACCACAGACCGUAUAAAAAAUACACAAGCAAGGUGUUUAGCUAGCUAGCACCUGUCACCGGGAGGCAGUUAUUCCGUGAGAGUGCCAGCAGUCAGAGCUAAAACAACGAUGUCAGCGUUAGAGAGACAGAUGUGCCAAUCUGUCGAGAUCUGUUUUACUUUAUCGGGUGUGUUUACAGACACAGACUGAGCACCUGCAUAUUGGUGAAUGUAGAAACUCAAAAAAGUUAACUCACCAGCCA